rnacentral:rRNA from 1 species
UCAGACGAUGCGUCAUGCAUAUCAAUAAGCGGAGGAAAAGAAACUAACAAGGAUUCCCUUAGUAAUGGCGAGUGAAGCGGGAAGAGCUCAAAUUUGAAAUCUUAAAGGGUUUCCCUUUACGAAUUGUAGUUUAAAGAAGUGUUUUCUGUUAGAGUUUCGGUAAAAGUUCUUUGGAAUAGGACAUCAUAGAGGGUGAGAAUCCCGUAUUUGACCGUUAUUUCUAGCUUUGUGAUACACUUUCAAAGAGUCGGAUUGUUUGGGAAUGCAGUCCAAAAUGGGUGGUAAAUUUCAUCUAAAGCUAAAUAUUGGCGAGAGACCGAUAGCGAACAAGUACCGUGAGGGAAAGAUGAAAAGAACUUUGAAAAGAGAGUUAAACAGUACGUGAAAUUGUCAAAAGGGAAGCGUUUGACACCAGUGUUGUUUUCUCGAAAAUCAAUUAAAAAAGGCAGGAUUUUGUGUUGUAUUGACUUUAUCAGCUUUCUGCACUCUUUUCUUGUCUUUUUUUAAUGCACUUUUCGUUUAACAAGUCAACAUCAAUUUCUUUUGUUGUAAAAGGGUCAUUGGAAGGUGGCUUUCUUUUCGGAGAAAGUGUUUAUAGCCUUUGGCCUCUGCAAUCGGAGAGAUUGAGGUCUGCAGCGUAGAUCCUUCGGGGUUAGAUACAUUUGUGCUAAGUUAUAGCCUUUCAUAGACAACUUGUUGGCUAUGAUCAGUCAUGUAGCUUACUCGCUUAUGCUAUUUUACCUACGCUUAGGAUGUUGAUCUACAGAGCGAGAGU